CCAAUAGCGUAUAUUAAAGUUGUUGCAGUUAAAAAGCUCGUAGUUGAACUUCGGGGUCUACCCAUUGGUCAGGCUUAAUUGUCUGCACUGGUGAGAUGGAUCUCUACCUUCUGAGGAACUUUCAUGCCAUUUAUUUGGUGUGAUGGGAAAUCAGGACUGUUACUUUGAAAAAAUUAGAGUGUUUAAAGCAGACUAUCGUCUGAAUACAUUAGCAUGGAAUAAUGAAAUAGGACGGACUGAUUCUAUUUCGUUGGUUUCUAGGAUCACCGUAAUGAUUAAUAGGGAUAGUUGGGGGCAUUAGUAUUCAAUUGUCAGAGGUGAAAUUCUUGGAUUUAUUGAAGACUAACUACUGCGAAAGCAUUUGCCAAGGAUGUUUUCAUUAAUCAAGAACGAAAGUUAGGGGAUCGAAGACGAUCAGAUACCGUCGUAGUCUUAACCAUAAACUAUGCCGACUAGGGAUCGGACGAAGUUAAUUUUUUAAUGAUUCGUUUGGCACCUUACG
rnacentral:rRNA from 1 species